rnacentral:misc_RNA from 1 species
GAUGAAGAACGCAGCGAAAUGCGAUACGUAAUGUGAAUUGCAGAAUUCAGUGAAUCAUCGAAUCUUUGAACGCAUAUUGCGCUCUCUGGUAUUCCGGAGAGCAUGCUUGUUUGAGUAUCAGUAAACACCUCAACUCCCUUCUCUUUUUUGAAAUUGGAGCUGGACUUGAGUGAUCCCAACGCUUUCUUCCAAGAAAGUGGCGGGUUGCUUGAAAUGCAGGUGCAGCUGAACUUUUCUCUGAGCUAUAAGCAUAUCUAUUUAGUCUGCCUAAAAAACAGAUUAUUACCUUUGCUGCAGCUAACAUAAAGGAGACUAGUUCUUGUGCUGACUGAUGCAGGAUUCACAGAGACAGCUUCGGCUGACUUUGUAAACUCGAUCUCAAAUCAAGUAAGACUACCCGCUGAACUUAAGCAUAUCAAUAAGCGGAGGA